AAGUCGUAACAAGGUUUCCGUAGGUGAACCUGCGGAAGGAUCAUUUGCGAUACUCUAAAAAAAACGAGAUUGAAGUGCCAGAGGCUUAACCCCCUUUUGUGCUUCUUUCUUAAGAGAUUUUGUGGUCUUUAACCUUUUUUGGUUUUGUCUUGGAGGACAAAAAAAUGAACUCAAAUCUUCGGGUUAGGUUCUUUCCAACUCCAAGCUCCAAAAUCAAAACCAACAAUAAACCAUAAUCAAACCAACCAAUGUGAUUUGUUCAUUGUACAGUUGUAAUUUUACAAUUAAAAAAUUAAAAAUCACAACUGGCAACGGCGGAUCUCUUGGCUCGU
rnacentral:misc_RNA from 1 species